rnacentral:rRNA from 1 species
AUUGAACGCUGGCGACAUGCCUUACACAUGCAAGUCGAACGGCAGCACGAGUGCUUGCACCUGGUGGCGAGUGGCGAACGGGUGAGUAAUACAUCGGAACAUGUCCUGUAGUGGGGGAUAGCCCGGCGAAAGCCGGAUUAAUACCGCAUACGAUCUACGGAUGAAAGCGGGGGACCUUCGGGCCUCGCGCUAUCGGGUUGGCCGAUGGCUGAUUAGCUAGUUGGUGGGGUAAAGGCCUACCAAGGCGACGAUCAGUAGCUGGUCUGAGAGGACGACCAGCCACACUGGGACUGAGACACGGCCCAGACUCCUACGGGAGGCAGCAGUGGGGAAUUUUGGACAAAGGGCGAAAGCCUGAUCCAGCAAUGCCGCGUGUGUGAAGAAGGCCUUCGGGUUGUAAAGCACUUUUGUCCGGAAAGAAAUCCUUGGCCCUAAUACGGUCGGGGGAUGACGGUACCGGAAGAAUAAGCACCGGCUAACUACGUG